rnacentral:rRNA from 1 species
CAAAACUCGGUAUCCUUAUCCACCGCCGAAGCGGAGUACAUUGUCGCUGGUUCAUGUUGUGCUCAAUUACUUUGGAUGACCCAAACUCUUAAAGAUUAUGGGAUAUAUGUGAAACAUGUUCCAUUGCUUUGUGACAAUGAAAGUGCUAUCAAAAUUGGACAUAAUCCUGUGCAACAUUCUCGAACUAAGCAUAUUGAAGUUCGUCAUCAUUUCAUUCGAGAUCAUGUUGCUAAGGGUGACAUUGAUCUUAAGCAUGUUCGCACCGAAAAGCAAUUAGCGGAUAUAUUCACUAAACCUCUUGAUGAGAAAGUGUUUUGCAGGUUGAAAGGAGAAUUGAACAUCAUAGAUGCUUCAAACUUGGAGUAG